UUGGGUGUGAGCUUAAACUUCGCGCGGAAUAUUUUUUAGUUUGAUACCAGAGCAGAGAAUGAAGCCACUCUCCCACUGUGUGUGUGUGUCGUAAGCCGAGUUGUUCUCUAGCUGGGCCUGCCACGCGUACAUCCAACACAACAUCACCCACAUUACUUAACGUGUGGAGAAAACUGGACGAAUGGAGGGAGGCAAAGAUGGAGAAAGGGAGUAAUGAAGCUAUGUAUGUGCUUUCCCUGGUGGUUUUAAUGGGUGCAGAAAGCCAUGAAGCUCACGAGGACGCUCGCAACGAAAGAAACAACAUUUCUACUAUUCCUUGUACUCAACAAUGAAGAGAGUUCUCUCCUGCACUGCUGAUGCGUGAGGUUAUCCAGUUCAACCCCAUCAAUGGUCAAAGCCCCCAUCGAUUGAGACGGAAAGAACAAAAUCAUUUUGAAUCCAUGGCGUUGCUUCACCAAGAUGCUGUGAAUCCCAAAAGGAAACGGAAGAGAAUGAAUCCAGGCAUGUGAUUACGCAGGUAUAAAUGAUUUUCUACAGAUUGCUCCCACAUUACAACAAGCAAUGUGUGUAAAUC